rnacentral:rRNA from 1 species
CCACUUCUACGGAGGGCAGCAGGCGCGCAAAUUGCCCAAUGUCAAAAAAAACGAUGAGGCAGCGAAAAGAAAUAGAGCCGGCAGUGCCACUGGCAUUGCCGUUUUCAAUGGGGGAUAUUUAAACCCAUCCAAAAUCGAGUAUCAAUUGGAGGACAAGUCUGGUGCCAGCACCCGCGGUAAUUCCAGCUCCAAAAGCGUAUAU